UGGGGAAUAUUGCACAAUGGGCGAAAGCCUGAUGCAGCAACGCCGCGUGAGUGAUGAAGGCCUUCGGGUUGUAAAGCUCUGUCUUUUGGGACGAUAAUGACGGUACCAAAGGAGGAAGCCACGGCUAACUACGUGCCAGCAGCCGCGGUAAUACGUAGGUGGCAAGCGUUGUCCGGAUUUACUGGGCGUAAAGGAUGCGUAGGCGGAUUUUUAAGUGAGAUGUGAAAUACCCGGGCUUAACUUGGGUGCUGCAUUUCAAACUGGGAAUCUAGAGUGCGGGAGAGGAGAAUGGAAUUCCUAGUGUAGCGGUGAAAUGCGUAGAGAUUAGGAAGAACACCAGUGGCGAAGGCGAUUCUCUGGACCGUAACUGACGCUGAGGCAUGAAAGCGUGGGUAGCAAACAGGAUUAGAUACCCUGGUAGUCCACGCCGUAAACGAUGAGUACUAGGUGUAGGAGGUAUCGACCCCUUCUGUGCCGCAGUUAACACAAUCAAGUACUCCGCCUGGGAAGUACGAUCGCAAGAUUAAAACUUAAAUGAAUU
rnacentral:rRNA from 1 species